rnacentral:tRNA from 1 species
GAGGGUAUAGCUCAGUGGUAGAGCAUGUGCUUAGCCCAGACAAGGUCCUGGGUUCAAUCCCCUGUACCUCCU